rnacentral:rRNA from 1 species
GAUAGGUGGGAGGCUUGGAAGUGUGGACGCCAGUCUGCAUGGAGCCGACCUUGAAAUACCACCCUUUAAUGUUUGAUGUUCUAACGUGGACCCGUGAUCCGGGUUGCGGACAGUGUCUGGUGGGUAGUUUGACUGGGGCGGUCUCCUCCUAAAGAGUAACGGAGGAGCACGAAGGUUGGCUAAUCCUGGUCGGACAUCAGGAGGUUAGUGCAAUGGCAUAAGCCAGCUUGACUGCGAGCGUGACGGCGCGAGCAGGUGCGAAAGCAGGUCAUAGUGAUCCGGUGGUUCUGAAUGGAAGGGCCAUCGCUCAACGGAUAAAAGGUACUCCGGGGAUAACAGGCUGAUACCGCCCAAGAGUUCAUAUCGACGGCGGUGUUUGGCACCUCGAUGUCGGCUCAUCACAUCCUGGGGCUGAAGUAGGUCCCAAGGGUAUGGCUGUUCGCCAUUUAAAGUGGUACGCGAGCUGGGUUUAGAACGUCGUGAGACAGUUCGGUCCCUAUCUGCCGUGGGCGCUGGAGAACUGAGGGGGGCUGCUCCUAGUACGAGAGGACCGGAGUGGACGCAUCACUGGUGUUCGGGUUGUCAUGCCAAUGGCACUGCCCGGUAGCUAAAUGCGGAAGAGAUAAGUGCUGAAAGCAUCUAAGCACGAAACUUGCC